AUGAACGCUGGCGGCGUGCCUAAUACAUGCAAGUCGAGCGAACAGACGAGGAGCUUGCUCCUCUGACGUUAGCGGCGGACGGGUCAGUAACACGUGGAUAACCUACCUAUAAGACUGGGAUAACUUCGGGAAACCGGAGCUAAUACCGGAUAAUAUAUUGAACCGCAUGGUUCAAUAGUGAAAGACGGUUUUGCUGUCACUUAUAGAUGGAUCCGCGCCGCAUUAGCUAGUUGGUAAGGUAACGGCUUACCAAGGCGACGAUGCGUAGCCGACCUGAGAGGGUGAUCGGCCACACUGGAACUGAGACACGGUCCAGACUCCUACGGGAGGCAGCAGUAGGGAAUCUUCCGCAAUGGGCGAAAGCCUGACGGAGCAACGCCGCGUGAGUGAUGAAGGUCUUCGGAUCGUAAAACUCUGUUAUUAGGGAAGAACAAAUGUGUAAGUAACUAUGCACGUCUUGACGGUACCUAAUCAGAAAGCCACGGCUAACUACGUG
rnacentral:rRNA from 1 species